GGGCUAGCCUCAAGUGAUGAUUAUUGGAGGUAGAGCACUGUUUGGACGAGGGGCCCCUCUCGGGUUACCGAAUUCAGACAAACUCCGAAUGCCAAUUAAUUUAACUUGGGAGUCAGAACAUGGGUGAUAAGGUCCGUGUUCGAAAGGGAAACAGCCCAGACCACCAGCUAAGGUCCCAAAAUAUAUGUUAAGUGGAAAAGGAUGUGGCGUUGCCCAGACAACUAGGAUGUUGGCUUAGAAGCAGCCAUCAUUUAAAGAGUGCGUAAUAGCUCACUAGUCGAGUGACACUGCGCCGAAAAUGUACCGGGGCUAAACAUAUUACCGAAGCUGUGGAUUGUCCUUUGGACAAUGGUAGGAGAGCGUUCUAAGGGCGUUGAAGCAUGAUCGUAAGGACAUGUGGAGCGCUUAGAAGUGAGAAUGCCGGUGUGAGUAGCGAAAGACGGGUGAGAAUCCCGUCCACCGAUUGACUAAGGUUUCCAGAGGAAGGCUCGUCCGCUCUGGGUUAGUCGGGUCCUAAGCUGAGGCCGACAGGCGUAGGCGAUGGAUAACAGGUUGAUAUUCCUGUACCACCUAUAAUCGUUUUAAUCGA
rnacentral:rRNA from 1 species